rnacentral:rRNA from 1 species
AGGACGAACGCUGGCGGCGUGCUUAACACAUGCAAGUCGAGCGGAAAGGCCCUUCGGGGUACUCGAGCGGCGAACGGGUGAGUAACACGUGAGUAACCUGCCCCUAGCUCUGGGAUAGCUCCGGGAAACCGGGAUUAAUACCAGAUACGACCACUUUAGACAUCUGUCGUGGUGGAAAGGAUUCCGGCUAGGGAUGGGCUCGCGGCCUAUCAGCUUGUUGGUGGGGUAACGGCCUACCAAGGCGACGACGGGUAGCCGGCCUGAGAGGGCGACCGGCCACACUGGGACUGAGACACGGCCCAGACUCCUACGGGAGGCAGCAGUGGGAAUAUUGCGCAAUGGGCGAAAGCCUGACGCAGCGACGCCGCGUGGGGAUGAAGGCCUUCGGGUUGUAAACCCCUUUCAGCAGGGACGAAGCGAAAGUGACGGUACCUGCAGAAGAAGCGCCGGCUAACUACGUGCCAGCAGCCGC